rnacentral:lncRNA from 1 species
CCUGCAUCCUUAUUCACGUGUCUAUCCUUUGGAGCACACUGACUAAAAGGAAAAUAGUGUAAACAUCUUCUUAAUACUGGGUACUAAAUACUGAAAAUUAGUUUUUGUUGCUCUUAGUUGGUGGCUUUAAAACAACUUUGGAAAUAAUCAUUAUCCUUCUGGCAGAUGGUCCAGGACAGAGAAAAUCAUGGUUUUGGCAAAAGCAUCUUUAUGUGUGGAGAAAUGUUUGGGCUGAGAUCAGCACCUGUGCAGACAGGAAAAUUUUCUCUUUUCCUCAAGUGAAGGAUUUUUGAUUUUCUGCAUUCCAGUACUUAAGAGUUUCUUGCUUGUAAAUGCACUGGGAAAUUAUAUCAGCAUCUUUUGAUGAAGGAAAAGACUGCAAAAGACCUUGAGGUCAGUGCAGCUUGAUGGAAGUGUUCACUAGAAUAUUUCUAAAGACCUACAGAGUUUGGGGAAAAUUUGAGUUAUUUGGAUGCUCUACUUGUCCAGGAAAAAGAGAGAGAAUGACAUACAGAGGGUGCCUGAGAGGUAGCUAUUAGUUUUUUGUUAUGACAACUGUAAAUGUAGAACAUGUUAUGACAUGUUGUGUGGCCAUUUUCCUUAGUUCUCUAAGAGUGUGGAAGGCCAAUGCAAGGUCUUCAGUCUUGCUGGCUUCCCAGUUCUGUCUUUGAUGUGCUCUGCCUUCAUUUGGAAGUGGAAAACUAAUAUGCAAAACAAGAAUAUGACUGUGUGUGUGCCUGUCUUUGUUCAAAUGAACACACAGGGUACUUGAUCCCUGUGGGUCCCUUCCAACUCAGGAUAUUCUGUGAUUCUAUUGCAGAAAGGUUUAAAAUAUACAUGCAAAUAUUAAAAAAAAAAAAAAAAAAAAAAAGUCUGAAAAUAUUUUUAAUAGCAGCUCUCUUCUGAACCUGUAAAUCUGGCUAGGAACCCUCCUUUGUGU